AGCGAACGCUAGCGGCGGGCCUAACACAUGCAAGUCGAGCGGGGGAGCAAUCCCCAGCGGCGGACGGGUGAGUAACACGUAGGUUAUGUGCCCUUUGGUGGGGAAUAACCGUGGGAAACCAUGGCUAAUUCCGCAUAUCGAGCGAAAUCUUGAAAGCCUUCGGGCGCCAAAAGGAGCAACCUGCGGCCCAUUAGCUUGUUGGUAGGGUAACGGCCUACCAAGGCGAUGAUGGGUAGCUGGUCUGAGAGGAUGAUCAGCCACACUGGAACUGAGACACGGUCCAGACUCCUACGGGAGGCAGCAGUGGGGAAUAUUGCGCAAUGGGCGAAAGCCUGACGCAGCCACGCCGCGUGAGUGAUGAAGGCCUUCGGGUCGU
rnacentral:rRNA from 1 species